AAGCUGCUUCAGAAUGAAAGGCAAUUAAGGCAGAGAUGUUUUUCCAGCACUGUUUUAACUUCCACAUCAAAUAUUCUUUCAGACAUUCAGGAAUACACUUAUCUACAAAUGAAGGGCAUAAGCCACGCUAUUGAUUCUCACAGAGGACCUGCUCCUCUGCAAGGCAUCCGAGCGGCUUCCCGAGACGCACGACAGUUCUGCUGCCAUUAGAACACGGUCCAGCGAGGGACCCCCUGCAGAUGCCGUACCCUCUUCUUGCUGGAUUUCCCUGACCUCUUAGCCCCAUUUCAGUUGGCAAGAGUUCGGGGACGAAUUUACCAAAUGGCUUAGCAUGGCAGUCGAUGUAAUGCAGAAAAUUGUUGUUCGUGCCUACACCAUAGCAAGGACCUUAAGUGAAGCAGUUACAACCAGCCUAGAAUGCCACGGCCUGUACGCUAAAUAUUUCAUCAAUUUGCUGAAUAUAAAUUAUAUCUUCAAGCCCCAGCCCCCAGGAUCAGGACAUAAAGCACAGUUGGGUCAAGUGCUUUGAGUGGGGCCAUACGAGGCAUCUAUAAAAUACUUUCUUGUGAUUUCAUGUACAGUGACUUUGAAAUAAGUUUAAUGGGAAGACAAAGACCAGCAGCCGUGCCCGACUCCUCCUCACUGCUCUGGUCAGGCUGAAGGUUUGGCGCCUGCUCCCUCCUUUUAAACCAAAGAGGAAGAACCUAGGAGGGCACAAUCCGGCUUUCAGGUCACUGCCUCCUGAAAUGCUCGGUCUGGCUCAUCACUGGAGAAUCUCGGAUUCCUGCUACUUGAAAACUGUAGCCAGAGUGACGCAGAGGGAAGCCGAAGCCGAGUGCCCAGUCCUCCUGGAAGUCGGAGUCAUCCCUGCGACAGCCGUUUUCGGCUCAGAAUGCCAUUCGGGCUGUGCUCUCAGCACUGCCGAGUGUGGCUCCCCUUGGCUCAGCUGAGGUUUCAAGAGAUCCACGCACAACUCAGCGGAGCCUCUUGUUUCGGUUGGCUAUCAUCCUACCUUACUCCAAGCAAAUCGUGUUUCCAUGAAACUAAGCAUGUUCCUGAAUCUAGCCGGGGUCUGGUGUGGGAUUUUCCUGAAGCAACCUGAAUGUGGCCAUGAAGCAUGUCUUUGCCUCUAGGUUUGCACAGCACUGAGCCUGGUGCAGGCUCCCAUGUCCCCACCGCAUGUCCAGAAACCCGGCACUGUGGCAGGAAGGAUGCCUGGGGAGGAGAGAGGGAAGCGUGGACACUCUGGCUAGUUGUCUAUGUGAGCCCGACGCCCAUGUCUUCCUGCACUCAGAGGACACUGUUUAUCAGUGAUACUCUCCUUUUCACCUACCUCCCCUUGAAGUCCGGCCUGCAUCCCAGUCUUGAGAUGUGGUCGGACAGAACUGCAGCAGGUUGGAAUCAGGAGCAGGAGGCGGAGGAGGUAGGAGUCUCCACGGUGGCCUGGAAGCCAUCCCCCGGGAGGCCACAGGGGGGAGCUGUGGCUCUGCUCAGGGCUGCCAGAGCCGGUGGGGGAGGAGAGGGAGGAAAAUACACUGUCGCGGAGCAGCGGUGGAAGGGGAAAGGUAGGUUUUAUAAGUUCCUGAAUUUUAUGACUAUGCUGCAACAGUGGAAUGUCCACUCAAUCUGUUGCGAAGUUAGCACAGAAAACAUGCACUGGGCAUAUUAAGUACAGGAUGAAAUGGCGCAGUGAAUAUUUAUUAGCAAAAGUAUAGGUUCUCAAAAACAGAAAUAAAACAGGGUAAUAGAUGAAGGGAAGAAUAGAUUUAACACUGAAAUAAAUAUCAAAGGUGCAAAGAAAAGGCAAAAUAUAGUGUUCAAACAAAGCUGUGAAUUGGGUCCAGAUUUAAUGCCCCCCUAGGGAAAGAGAGGUUGGACGGACUGUUGGAAUUGAGAUACUACUUUUAGUACACAGUCCCUGUAAUGCUGUCAGCUUUAUUUCCUUUGACAAAUGUGAAAUAAAAUUUGUCAAAGUUAGGGCUUGGAAAGUUGGCUAUUGAAAAUUCAAUUGGUAAUAACUAGUAUAGCCUAGCACUCGGGAGAUUUUUAAAGGAGAGGGAUGUUUAAGAUGCCAGGGUGGGGGGAACAGUCGUACAUAUUGUAUUUCACUUUUUAAAAAUUUAGCAGUUGACUUAGGCAACUGGAUUUCUGGGUUUCCUAUUAGCUGGGUUCACUGUUGGAAGGCAGUAAUUUAAAACCCUUCUCCACGAUAACUCCAAUUAUAUCGUAAGUUUGAAAAUACUCCAGUCUCAAUAUGGAGGGCCCCCCAUUGUCUCCUGGGCGUGGGGGACACGCACCCUGAAGGCGUGCUUCAUCCAGUGGUGCAGAAGCGCAGGGCGGGAGGGCGGAGGGACUGCCGCCCUGGACCCUCUCCGCAGUGCCCCUGACCUGGCUUCCCCUUGGCCCCUGAAUCUGAUACCGUAAGAGUGCAGACUGUGAUUUAUCGGGAAUGUUUAAUAACAGACUUUUCUUGUCUUCACAAUUUGUCGCUCUGCGACCU